rnacentral:rRNA from 1 species
UACGGGGGGGGCAAGCGUUGUUCGGAAUUACUGGGCGUAAAGGGCUCGUAGGCGGCCAACUAAGUCGGGCGUGAAAUCCCUCGGCUUAACCGGGGAACUGCGUCCGAUACUGGAUGGCUGGAGGUUGGGAGAGGGAUGCGGAAUUCCAGGUGUAGCGGUGAAAUGCGUAGAUAUCUGGAGGAACACCGGUGGCGAAGGCGGCAUCCUGGACCAACACUGACGCUGAGUGAGCGAAAGCCAGGGGAGCAAACGGG